GUCGAACGGAGCUAGAUGCUGAGGACGUAGCUUGCUAUUGAAUCUUGUUUAGCUUAGUGGCGGACGGGUGAGUAACGCGUGAGCAACCUACCUUUCAGAGGGGGAUAACGUUUGGAAACGAACGCUAAUACCGCAUGAUAUUAUUGGGCAGCAUUGCCUGAUAAUCAAAGGAGCAAUCCGCUGAAAGAUGGGCUCGCGUCCGAUUAGGUAGUUGGCGGGGUAACGGCCCACCAAGCCGACGAUCGGUAGCCGGACUGAGAGGUUGAACGGCCACAUUGGGACUGAGACACGGCCCAGACUCCUACGGGAGGCAGCAGUGAGGGAUAUUGGUCAAUGGGGGAAACCCUGAACCAGCAACGCCGCGUGAGGGAAGACGGUUUUCGGAUUGUAAACCUCUGUCCUCUGUGAAGAUGAUGACGGUAGCAGAGGAGGAAGCUCCGGCUAACUACGUGCCAGCAGCCGCGGUAAUACGUAGGGAGCAAGCGUUGUCCGGAUUUACUGGGUGUAAAGGGUGCGUAGGCGGCUUUGCAAGUCAGAAGUGAAAUCUAUGGGCUUAACCCAUAAACUGCUUUUGAAACUGCAGGGCUUGAGUGAAGUAGAGGUAGGCGGAAUUCCCGGUGUAGCGGUGAAAUGCGUAGAGAUCGGGAGGAACACCAGUGGCGAAGGCGGCCUACUGGGCUUUAACUGACGCUGAGGCACGAAAGCGUGGGUAGCAAACAGGGAUUAGAUACCCUGGUAGUCCACGUUGUAAACGAUGAUUACUAGGUGUGGGUGGACGGACCCCAUCCGUGCCGGAGUUAACACAAUAAGUAAUCCACCUGGGGAGUACGGCCGCAAGGCUGAAACUCAAAGGAAUUGACGGGGGCCCGCACAAGCAGUGGAGUAUGUGGAUUAAUUCGAUGCAACGCGAAGAACCUUACCAGGUCUUGACAUCCCGCUAACGAGGCAGAGAUGCGUUAGGUGCCCUUCGGGGAAAGCGGAGACAGGUGGUGCAUGGUUGUCGUCAGCUCGUGUCGUGAGAUGUUGGGUUAAGUCCCGCAACGAGCGCAACCCUUACGGUUAGUUGCUACGCAAGAGCACUCUAGCCGGACCGCCGUUGACAAAACGGAGGAAGGUGGGGAUGAUGUCAAAUCAUCAUGCCCCUUAUGACCUGGGCCUCACACGUACUACAAUGGCCGUUAACAGAGGGAGGCAAAGCCGCGAGGCAGAGCAAAACCCUAAAAACGGUCUCAGUUCGGAUCGUAGGCUGCAACCCGCCUGCGUGAAGUUGGAAUUGCUAGUAA
rnacentral:rRNA from 1 species